rnacentral:rRNA from 1 species
AUGGCACCGCUGGCCUCCAUGGCUCGCUGCGCCCUGCUCCCUUCUGCACAUCCAGUGCCGCGCCUCCCCUGCCGCCAUGUCAUGCUGACUCCGGCGAGGACAUGCCUCCCUUUAGCCUCUCCCUCUAGCACCAAGCGCCUCUCCACCUCUGCACCAGCCGGAGCCAUCGCCGGCUACCCCGGAGCCGCGCUGCUCCUUCUGCACGCCGCCGUCCGCGACCACCAGGAGGCCGCCGCUCGCCUCGCGCCUCUGCUGCCGGCGACCACGGCCGUUGGAGCGUGCCCGCCAUCGACCUCCUCGGCCAACCGGGUCGUGUCGUCCCUUCGUCGCGCCCUCCUCCUCUCCUGUCGUGCAGCCAUGGCCCCAAGCUCCUGCUGCAGCCGCUGCUUCCCAGCUCCUCCCCUGCUUCUCCAACUUCGUCCUCGGCCGAGCAGUCCCGCCACGACCAUCACCACCCCGACGCCCUUGCUGCUGCUAUACCACCUCGAUGUCACCAGGGAGUACCAUGGCUUCCAUCGAGACCCUUGGAUUCAUCAAGAUCGCCAAGUAGCACGACAUACGACGCCCGUAACGACCACAACACCGAACGCCAAGUACAGGAUGACCCGCGAAGCCCCUGGACGCCAUGUAUCACAACCGUGGCGUUCCAUUUCAUCCUUGUCAAGUACCCAUGGACGUCAAGUACAACGAUGUCGGUGCCCCCAAGUUCGGCUACACGAAAACGCCAAGUACCCCUUCAUGUCGGCAAGACCCGCAAGUCGGACCCCGAACGAUCGACGACUCGUGGACCAUGUACAACUUCAGUCGCCGAACACCUGGGUAGCACAAGUGCCAAGUACCCCAGAGACCACUUGGACGUCAAGUACCGUUGACCCUCGAAGACUCCGUGGACGUCAAGUUUCUCGCCGUGACCCCGAACAUCUACGGAAACUUGUGCGACUAAGAAUGUGA